GAUGAACGCUGGCGGCGUGCCUAAUACAUGCAAGUCGAGCGAACAGAUGAGGAGCUUGCUCCUCUGACGUUAGCGGCGGACGGGUGAGUAACACGUGGAUAACCUACCUAUAAGACUGGGAUAACUUCGGGAAACCGGAGCUAAUACCGGAUAAUAUAUUGAACCGCAUGGUUCAAUAGUGAAAGACGGUUUUGCUGUCACUUAUAGAUGGAUCCGCGCCGCAUUAGAUAGUUGGUAAGGUAACGGCUUACCAAGGCAACGAUGCGUAGCCGACCUGAGAGGGUGAUCGGCCACACUGGAACUGAGACACGGUCCAGACUCCUACGGGAGGCAGCAGUAGGGAAUCUUCCGCAAUGGGCGAAAGCCUGACGGAGCAACGCCGCGUGAGUGAUGAAGGUCUUCGGAUCGUAAAACUCUGUUAUUAGGGAAGAACAAAUGUGUAAGUAACUAUGCACGUCUUGACGGUACCUAAUCAGAAAGCCACGGCUAACUACGUG
rnacentral:rRNA from 1 species